CCAUCAGCUAGCGCCAGCAUGAUCCCACACAGACCCUUCAUGGCUUUCCUAUUUACUACACAUUGUCAGGCUCCUGGAGCAAAGUACCACGAACUGGGUGAAUUGAAACAACAGGAAUCGAUCAUCUCAUAGUUCUGGAGGCUACAUGCUUACAGUCAAGAUUUCUAUCAUGGAAAGCAGUGAAUUCCCCCAGAAUUAGGCCACAAUUCAUGGUCUGAAUUAUAAGAGCUGCUUGGGUCUGUCCAAGUCCAAUGUAUGGAUUACCUUGAUCCCCACUGCAACCCAGAAGCUUUCAGUUACCAGGAGCAGGACAACUGUGCUCGGAGAACAGCUUACCUGGUGCUGCUGUCAAAGAGAGAACUCAGGGCCUGACAGUUGUUCCACUGAUUCUCAAGUGAGUGAACCAAAGUCCAGUGGGCGAAGGACCUGGCCUAAGGCACUCAGCCUUUGUUGGCAGAGCUGAGUGGAGAGCACAGGCUCCUGACUGGAAGGCCACAGCUAGUCUCCUUCACGGUGCUGACUCAUCUUUGAGACGAUGAUGCAAUUUAAUGAG